UACGUAGGUGGCAAGCGUUGUCCGGAUUUACUGGGCGUAAAGAGCGCGCAGGCGGUCGUUCAAGUCGCGUGUGAAAGCCCCCGGCUCAACUGGGGAGGGUCACGCGAUACUGAUCGACUCGAAGGCAGGAGAGGGUAGUGGAAUUCCCGGUGUAGUGGUGAAAUGCGUAGAUAUCGGGAGGAACACCAGUGGCGAAAGCGACGUGCUGGACCCUUUCUGACGCUGAGGCGCGAAAGCCAGGGGAGCAAACGGG
rnacentral:rRNA from 1 species